AUUGAACGCUGGCGGCGUGCUUAACACAUGCAAGUCGAUCGGUAACGCGGGGGCAACCCUGGCGACGAGAGGCGGACGGGUGAGGAACGCUUGGGAAUCUGCCUAUCAGCGGGGGACAACCCGGGGAAACUCGGGCUAAUACCGCAUACGCUCUACGGAGGAAAGCCGGGGACCGCAAGGCCUGGCACUGAUAGAUGGGCCCAAGUCGGAUUAGCUAGUUGGCGGGGUAACGGCCCACCAAGGCGACGAUCCGUAGCUGGUCUGAGAGGACGAUCAGGCAAACUGGGACUGAGACACGGCCCAGAAUCCUACGGGAGGCAGCAGUGGGUAAUAUUGGACAAUGGGGGAAACCCUGAUCCAGCGACGCCGCGUGGGUGAAGAAGGCCUGCGGGUUGUAAAGCCCUUUCGGUAGGGACGAAAGCUCUCGACCUAACACGUCGGGAGGUUGACUUAACCUACAAAAGAAGCACCGGCUAACUCUGUGCCAGCAGCCGCCGUAAAAC
rnacentral:rRNA from 1 species